rnacentral:rRNA from 1 species
GUGGAUUAGAUACCCUGGUCGUCCACGCCCUAAACGAUGUCUACUAGUUGUCGGGUCUUAAUUGACUUGGUAACGCAGCUAACGCGUGAAGUAGACCGCCUGGGGAGUACGGUCGCAAGAUUAAAACUCAAAGGAAUUGACGGGGACCCGCACAAGCGGUGGAUGAUGUGGAUUAAUUCGAUGCAACGCGAAAAACCUUACCUACCCUUGACAUGUCAGGAAUCCUGGAGAGAUCUAGGAGUGCCCGAAAGGGAGCCUGAACACAGGUGCUGCAUGGUUGUCGACAGCU